CCCCUCAAAAAAAAGUGACACAAUAAAAUGUACUUAAUACACGAUGAACAUUUCUUAGAAAUAGUGGUCAAUUACAUCAUAUAAUUUGGUUCUGUACAAAAGAAAGUUUCCUCUUUUGUGUAUAUAUAUCCUAAAUACCACCCCUUGCGAUGAACUAUCUGUCUUUGUCCACAAAUUUGGUUAUUCACCAUCCAGCAUGUCAGUUGCAGUCUCCUGAAGCAUAGGAACAACAUAAGUUAAAACAAUGUAGUCAAACAUACACUAAAAAUAUACUCACGGGCAUUAUCGACAGAUUAAACCAAAGUUAUAGUGCACCUGUUCUCUAUAAAGAAUUAACCUGAGAAGGUCAUUCUUCAAGCUGACUCCUAGGUCCUAGCAGAAGAUGAUGCAUCUAAGCGAAGCUGCCUGGAGAUUUCUUAUAUGUCCCUUGCUCUCUACUGCAACAAAUAGUUGGAAUGGCAUAUAAGAUAAGUGUGAGGUACUGACAGAAGCUCACUCUCAAAAGGCACAUUCAGUAUGUAUAUGUAAUGAUAUAGAUGCGUUAUUAAUUAAGUAACCUGAAUAAGUUGUUGCAUAUUUCUUUUAGGGACAACUGUUUACAUAUUUCUUCUAUAUCCAUUGCUCUCUGAUGUAACGAUUAAAAUGGCAAACAAAGUAAUUCUUAGGCAUUGAUAUUACUGACUUACUUGUUCACAGGCGUAUACUGAAACCGAGAGCAUAAAGGUAAUAUGUUAUAGCAUAUAUUUGUACUGUAAGUAACAAAAGAGUAGUCUCUUUCCUUUUUCCACAUAACAGUCUACUUAUUUGAUGCACUUGGACUAACAGGAACAUAAGAAAACACCAAUGACUAAUCAUUUGGAAGGCAGCAUGGCUGAGUCCUACACAUGGCUAGUUAAGCCCUCUUGCCAAGCUGGAAAGUUUCUUACAAAUGCGGAAAUAUCCAUAAGAUUGCAUCUCUCUUGUUCUACUGAAAUAAUAUUUUGCAUAUAUUAGAGGUUUCAAAAGCUAGGUACCAGUUAACUCCUAUUGUGUUUGUUUGUAUAUAUAUCAUUGGUCUGUUUUAUUCUAGAGCCUUACUAACCAAAUAAAGAUCAAAAUUUUGAAGUAAAUUCUAUGCCUAGAAACCAAAUAAGAACUACACUGAAAAUAUUUAUGAAUUACUACAACUAUUCAGACCAUUUUAGACUACUUUAGUAUGAGACUGUAAUCAAGAAUAAUGAAUGUAGGUGAUCUGAUAUCUUGUUCGAACAAUAAAAUAAAUAAGGACAGACAGGCAAUGGAUUUGACCAACAAAACCAAAUACUUCUAGAUCUGUCCGAACUUCUAAAGAAUUGAUCAAUCUUAAAAGUUGGAAAGGCUAAGCAGAUAGAGUAAUGAUAUGUUACACGAAUAAGCAAGCAUGUCCGCUGACCAUAGAUAGUAGCUGAUUAGCGAUGAUGCACUCAAUGCGAAGCGGUGUUUCCAUGCCUAUCAGGAUAAAGGUAUUCUUUUCUCCAAGGGUAAACAUGGAAGUGGAGUGAUCAAGCACACCGAAAAGAGUUUUCAUGAAUUAAAAAUAAUAUGGAAAUAAGUGUUUUGAAACAUAGAAUUUUGGAGCUGCACAAAAGAUGCAGCUGAAGAGGAGGACACCCCUAAAUGAAAACAUCGAGUUAAAAAAUUAAGCUAGCAAACCAGUCUGACCUAUUAUAUAUUACACAUGGACAGUAGCACCUACAUAUUGAAGCAACAAAAUUGACCCAAAAAAUCCCCAUAUAUGAACAUCACAAUCUGUGGGCAUUAACUAAACACAAAUUAAGCAUAGAUGUGUCGGGUAGAAGCUAAUAUUAUAGGAUAGGUGACCUACAGUGAAACACAUGAUAUAACACAAAGUUAAAGUAUGCUUAGCAGAGGAAUUCAGCAACAACACAUGGGAACAGAUCUGGGCUGUACCUAUAGGUAAUUAAUCUCUGCAUAGAUGGCGCAGAGUAGUAACUGCCUUGAUUUCUUUGCUGUCCCAGCCCCCUUUCCAGUAGCACAGCUCCCUUUUAGAAAUUAUUGUGGUCAGAAAUGAACAAUCGCUAUGUCUAUCUAGGCUUAAAGAACGCAUAGGUAGACAGACAGUAUAAGAAUUGACACCUUUUUUUGGUCAUCUACCCCUGGUCAUCCUUAUCAUUCUUUCCAUCAAUAGAAGAUGAAAGAGCUUCAGCCUUAUCAUCAGACUUCUCCUGGUGCACCUAGAAAACCAAGUAGUUUGGUAUCGGAGCAAGAUGAGAUAUUAAUAUCCAAAGGUAAAUAAAUUGGCUCGGACAGGUUUCAGCUCACUCAAUCAGUUAGACAGCUUCGAAUGGAAUUUCUUUAUGGCCAUCUAUAUAUUUGUAUCUCCGUAACAUGCGACACUAAGUUUUCUUCCUCAUGUGAGAUAAGCAUUUGAUUGUACAAUUGUGCAGUUGAGCAAGGCAUGAGAGAAAGCUAUAUCAACACAGCAGCUGUAAGUUUUCUUCCUCAUGUGAGAUAAGCAUUUGACUGUACAAUUGCGCAAUCAAGCAAGGCAUGAGAGAAAGCUAUAUUAACACAACAGUUAUCUUUUGGUGUACAAUCGAGUUGCUUUCAUAUGAGAUCUAAAACAUGUGCAUUCACACGUGCUUAUAUGAGUAGUAGAAAAGAAGCUUUGCCUAAGAAGAAGGACCCAAUAAUCAUUUUUUUUGGAAAGGCAUGAAGAGAAAACAUUAUAUUUAGGAGGAGCACAAAAAUACAGAGAAGACGGAGAGAAAGCCCAAGAAGCAAAAUCCAAGAAACAUCCUUUCAAAAGCCCAGGAAGAAUCACCAGGCCAGAAAACACAAGACCCUACAAAUCCCAUGGAAAGCAUUUUUUCCUGAUAGGAGAAGGCAGCCCAAAAGGAAACCUCAGAAGAAAGACUAAGAAACAAGUUUUUGAAAAGGAAUGACAAGAAAAAGACGUAAACAAAAGGGGAGGCAACCUAGCUGGGAAACAAAAAAUCCAGAGAACACAAAGAGCAAGCCCAAGAAGCAAAACCCAAGACACAUCUUUCAAAAAGCCCAUGAAGAAUUAUAAGCCCAAAAAACACAAAGCCCUGUAAACCCCAUGUAAAAUAAAUCUGUAAUAAAAGAGAGGAGGGGCCCAAAGGCCCAACAGAAGGAGCACCAAUAAAUAAGCAAGACAUCAAUUAUUUGGGCCCGCGUGGGAACAUUGAAGAAGAAGCUCAAAGAGGCACUAUAAGCAGUACCAAGAAUCUUGUUGUGUAAGCAAGAGGCAUUUUUUUCUCCAGCCCCCCCAAGGAGCAGGAAACAAGAGGGGUGAUCAAUGGAUUAUGAAGAAUCAAAUUAGAAAGGGCCAUUUCUACUUUGUAAAACAUAGAAAGAAGACACAGCAAGCCCACAGGGCAGACAUAUGAAGAAUAAAAAUGUCUAGAGACUUUAUUGCAAUAGAGGAAUUAAUCCAAGAAGUACAAAGCUGGCACACAGGCAUGAAUAAACAGUCAAUAGAAGAGAGCUAAAGAAAACGGAGAGAGGACAGCAGAUGCGAGUAUAGUAGAGUCCAGCAGAUGCGAGUAUGGUGUGUUUAGAUGCCGUUAAUUACCCAAAUGCUAAAAAGUGCAGCUGACGUUUUGAGCACACACCCUCGCUGGCCGUCCGAUCUCCUCGCGUGCGAGAUCACGACGCGCAGGUGAAUUUUUGUCGGAACCCACGACGCGAACCCUUCGCACGAUCGCCCCGUCCACCAACAAAUGGCCACUGCUAGGCGUCAUCCGGCUGACGUGAGACAAUCGUAAACCGCCUCCUGAGCCAUUGGAUGAGGCCAUGCGCAGCGUCCACCAACAAAUGGCCACUGCUAGGCGUCAUCCGGCUGACGUGAGACAAUCGUAAACCGCCUCCUGAGCCAUUGGAUGAGGCCAUGCGCAGCCGUCCGAUAUGUGCCAGUUGGACCACGAGCGCAACCCAGCAGAAAUUGACUCCGUCGUCUCUUGAGUGCAGCACUCCUCCAUCGCUCUUCGUCAUCCCGUCUUGCAGUGCUGCCUGUUGACGACCUUCGAAAUCAGCCAGUCAUCUCCGCCACAGCAAACAUCCCCGUUGCAUUGAAGCUUUUGCGUCGUCUAGCUCAACAAGCUCGACGAGAUCCACCGAAGAUGACCGAUGCCUCAUGCCGAGUGCGUCGGGAGAGCUGCAUAGCAGCGCCGACGAGGUUGCAUCGCAGCAUCGGUGCCUCAUGCCGCGUGCAUCGGGAGAGUUGCAUCACAACAUCGGUGCCUCAUGUCGCGUGCAUCGGGAGAGCUGCAUCGAAGCGCCGGCGAAGCUGCAUCGCAGCUCCAGUGCCUCCUGUCGCGUGCGUUGGGAGAGUUGCAUUGCAGCGCCGGCGAGGUUGCAUCGCAGCUCCGGUGCCUCCUGUCGCGUGUGUCGGGAGCUGCAGAGCAGCGUCGACGAGGUUGCACCGCAGCCGGUCCACAGCGCGCCGCACCCCAUCCGACUAACAACACUUGAAUGCUUUAUCGGAGCACUGGCUGCCACCGGCCAGUGUUGUUUCGCAACACCACAAAACGGCCAUGGUGGAUAGACGCACUGGCUUGGGACAGUGGCUUGGGGACAGCGCGUCCAUGGCGAAGAGACGCAUGGCCUUGGGGCAGUGGCUUGGGGACAACACGUCCAUGGAGGAGACACGCACGGUUUGAGGCAUUAGCUUGGGAACAACACGUCCAUGGUGGGGAGGCGCGGAAAUCAGCCGUGGAAGGAAUCGAGAGGUUAGAGACGAGGGAUCAACGGAUGGCUCGCCUGUUUCGCUAAGAAGAUAAGGUUGGGCAGGGCCCACAACGACGCGUGGCGUGCGGAGCGGGCGGUUUAUGUGAGUUGUGUUAUCAGCCGGUUGACACAAAGAGAUUUCCCCAACAAAUCCCUCCUCCUUUCUCCGUGGUGGCCCCCACUCCCGCUGCCGCCUUGGCCCGCGCCCCGUCGCCACCACCUCCACCUCCGCGCCUCUGCGGCCAACAUCUCUUCCUGCCGCCCCGACAAGAUGCCACCACCACCUCCCGCUGCUGCGGUCGCACACCACCACUCCCGGCAUGGUCAACGCCUCCAUUAGACUACCUUCCCGCCCCCAAGCGCCGCCUUGAAGUAGCCCCCACCCCUAACCGUCGAUAAGCUCAGGGGCCUGCCUCUUCCCGCUGCCCCGGCAAGGGACGGAGCUCGUUGCUCCCGGAGGCUGCCCUCCUCCCCGGUGGUGAACCCGGCGGAUAUGGACCUCAUUGUGAUGCGGAUCUGGAUUCGGGGUCGUCUGUGUCGUCCCGGAUGUACCCGAUGGCCACCAUGCACCGGCCGUCGUGCGCCUACAUCCAGUCGGCUCCGUGCGUCCUGUUCCUGCCCAAGCUCGUCCUCCCGUGACUCCCUUUGUGGAGACUUUUUUGACCCAAUCGCUGGUCCGGCGACUCCCAACUGGCGGGCUGACUCCGACGGUCCGACGAGCCCCUCUACUGGUGAGUCCUGAUGUCGCUUAUGCUGCUGUUGUUCCACGUCUCGUGGUUGUAGAGAGCCCAUGUCAGGUCGAGCAAAUUGCUCAUGGCAGGUCGAACAAAAAAUGCUUGUUUACAGAGAAUAAAAUCGAUUGGCCCCUGUGCUUGGAGGUGAGCGUGUGCUUGGCCAUGGCAGCGACAGCACGGCCGACGGCGGCGGCUAGAAUGUGCACCUCAUUUCCUUUUGAUGAUUAGCAACCAAACACCCAAUCCAGAAGGUUGAAGCAGUGCAGCGUCUGAUAUCGUGUCCUGAACUUCUGCUUCUGCUUCAGUACUUGUAGUACUAGGUGCAGAUAUAUAUAGGCGUCAGGAAGGUUUUUGUUCACAGCCAAAGUUUUGCGAAGUUAUAUAUGCAUCGUCAGGUACAUGUGGGCACGUUAAAGUACAUGUAAGUGAAGAUACUGUAAAAAUGGAACAAUUCUGCUUAGUUCGGCCUCCUGCCGUCCUGCGAUGCAAUUGCAACAAAAUGCAGGACGAGUCGUGUGGCCAGACACCCGUUGUUUUGCGUCCUAACUCUCCUGCUUUCCUGUAUUUAGACUUGCUUAGAGCCAGGAACAUGUCACUGUUACAAAUCUGAACUUUUGACCUUUUCGCUGGUUGCCAUUGGUAACUGUUAAAAAUUAGAGGUCAUGUUGUUUGCUGCAGCUCGAAUCUUUUCUUGCUGCUUGCCUGAUUGGCCUUUCGGCACUGGUACCUUGUUUUGUUUUUGCUGCACAGGUGAUAGAUGGCAAUGUAAAGCUCUGUAUUGUCGUUUAUAUGUGUAAUUCUUGUGUAUAUUGCCUGUGUGCCAUCUUGCGAUGUUUGGUGGUAACGGGAAAUUGGAGCUGCAAUGUUGCGCGUGCAUCUGAUUUAUGAAUGGUUGUUUUGAUUUUGUAUGUGUAGUAGAUGUUCGCGCUGCUAUUUUAUUUGUUUCUACAGUGUGAUACACCAGAACUGUUGAUGUCUCAUUUUCCAGGAGAUGAGAUGUUGUUUACUUCCCAGGAGACGCCAGCGCGUGUUGCUAGAAAAGCAGGCGCAAGUUGCUAUAGAUGCGAGAGCAAGUUGCGUGUUGUGUUUUUACCGACCAAAACAUGCCCAACGUUUACUAGGUACUUGCCUGGAGAUACUACUAUCUUUUCUAUAGUGGGCGUGUUUUGCGAGAGACGUUGGAGUGAGUUGCCAGAGACUUGUGUGCAAGUUGUGUAUUGUGUUUUUUACUGACUAAAGCUUGUCGAACAUUUACUAGAGAUAGUUUUUCCUGUUGAUGCUCAGUUUGGCCAUCGCUGCGGGUAAGAUCUCUACCAGUUGAUGCUCAGUUACCUACCAUUAUCUUUAAGUUCCUAUAUUAAUACGAAGUUGCCCACUGUCAAUGCUCAGUUGUCUAGCAUUGCUAAUUUUUUAGUCGCCUGCUGUGAUUGAUUAGUUGCUUGCCAUCGACAAUUAGUUGCCUGCAAUAUUGUGAAAAGUUGAUGUUGUUGCCAAGGUUUAGGUAAUGCUAGGAAACUUUAGAGAUGAUGUUAUGCAACUUUGGAGAUGGUGUUGCACAACUUGACAGUCAUGGCUACCAACUUAGGGGGGAGCAUUAGGUUGAUAGGUAAUCAUCAUAGGAAACUUUACAUGUGAUAUUAGGCAACUUGUCAAUGCUGGUAGUCAACAUAGAAGUGUUUGGAUAGACAUGUAGUCAUGAUAGGAAAUCUACCACAAAGUUGCUUCUCGUAGCACCAAAGUUGCCCCUCCCCCCUCCCCCCCAUGGUAUUAAAGUUGCCUCUGAAAAAAAUGUUGAUCAAAAGCAACUUUAGAAUGAUGUUAGUCAUUUGAGAGUCAUGAUAGCCAUAUUAGAAAAUCAUUAGUUUAAUAAUAGUCAUAAUAGGCAACUUGACAAAAAAAUUGCUUCUUGUAGCACCAAAAUUGUUCAUCCUAGCAUCAAAAUCGCUCGAAAAAAAGUUUGCCGAAGGCAACUUAAUAUAUAAUGCUAGUCAACAUGACUGUCAUGAUAGCUGGGAGCACCGAGUUGAUAGGGUAGUCACUAUAUGCAACAUUGCAACAAAAUGCUUCAUGUAUCACCAAGUUGAUAGGUAGUCAUGGUAGGCAACUUACAGGUGAUGCUAGACAACUUGUUAGUCAUAUUAGGCAACUCAAAAGAACAUUGGGUUGUUAGGUGACCAUGAUACAUAACCUAACCGAAAGUUGCUUACCUUAUUUCAAAAGUUGCCUCCCCAUCCGCCAAAGUUGUCUAUCUGACAAGAAAAAAGUUCAGCAAAAGAAAUUUCAUAGGUGGCGCUAGGCAAGUUAACGUUCAGGAUAGCCAACUUAUAAAAGCAUUGAUUUGAUAUGUAGCCAUCAUAGGCAACCUAGCAACGAGGUGCGUUAUGUAGUAUCAAAGUUGAUAGCUAGUCAUGGUAGGCAACUUACAUGUGAUGGUAGGCAACUUGGUAUUCAUCGUAUCCAACUCAAAAGAACAUUUUGAUGAUAGAUGACCAUGAUACACAACCUAAGCAAAAGUUGCUUACUGUAAUACAAAAGUUGCCUCUCCGUGGCACAAAAGUUGCUUGAGAAGUUUUUCGUCAAAAGCAAUUUCAUAGGUGAUGCGUAGCAACUUGAGAUCAUGAUACCCAACUUUAUAAGAGCAUUGAGUUGAUAGGUAGUCAUGAUAAGCAACAAGAUGGGUCAUGUAGCACCAACGUUGAUAGGUUGUCAUGGUAGGCAACUUACAAGUGAUGCUAGGCAAUUUGAUAGUCAUCGUAGCCAACUCAAAAGAACAUUAGGAUGAUAGAUGACUAUGAUACACAACCUAAUUGAAAGUUGCCUACUGUAAUACAAAAGUUGCCUCUCCGUGGCACCAAAGUUGCUUGUGAAAAAAAAGGAUAGUCGAAAGCAAGUUCAUAGUUGACACUAGGCAACUUAUAUGUCAUGCUAGGCAAUUUGAUAGUCAUUGUAGCCAAGUCAAAAGAAUCAUCGGGAUGAUAGGUGAUCAUGAUACAUAGCCUAACCGAAAGUUGCCUAUUUGUGACAACAAAGUUGCUUGAGAAAAAUAAUCAUCAAAAACAACUUCAUAGGUGACCCUAUGAAACUUGAGAAUCAUGAUAGCCAAGUUUAUAAGAGCAUUGAGUUGAUACGUAGUCAUCAUAGGCAACCUGGCAGCAAGUGCUUCAUAUAGCAGCAAAGUUGAUAGGUAGUCAUGGUAGACAACUUACACGUGAUGCUAGGCAUUUUGGCAGUCAUCAUAGCCAACUCAAAGGAACAUCCGGAUGAUAGGUGACCAUGAUACACACCCUAACCAAAAGUUGCCUACAGUGGUACCAAAGUUGCCUUAUAGUGAACCAAAGUUGCCCGAAGAACAAAAAUUCGUCGAAACAUAUCAACAUGGGAUCUAGUUUUGAAGAGCACGUCGCCCAGAAUCUAACGGUGAAAACGGAUCUUAAUUUUGAUGCUCCAUUCAAAAGUUAUGACUUUUUUAAAAAAUUGAACACACAAAAUAAUUACACAUGAGACAAGAUCUUUCUUUUUUUAGAGUGGAUUUUUUAUCAUAGUAUUAGGAUAAAAAAAUUUGAGUGUGUGCUCGGGAAUGCUAGGGAGCACACGUGUGCUCCCUAGUCGCUUGUAAUGAGCGGAAAAAGGCUAAAUGUUCAAAUUAUAGUUGAAGGGAGAUGAAUCUUAACCCUGGAUUGAAACGACGUACUACCGACCUGAAGAAAAAGAUGAGGCCGGCGAGCAAGAUCUCACGGUCGAUGGACUUAACUAAGGUACUUUUAAGCACAACAUUUAUAAAGGAAAUUGACCAUAUACUUUUUUAUGAAUGAUGCAAGACUUAUGUUUUUUUUUUUUGCAAGAAACAACCUUAGCAGGCUGUUGUGUAGAGUUACUGUCAGCGGAAGAUGGCGCAGCCAAGAGAAACUGGUUGUAGAUUUCUUCUAUGCCUGCUGCUCCAUC
rnacentral:lncRNA from 1 species